rnacentral:rRNA from 1 species
UGGGGAAUUUUGGACAAUGGGCGAAAGCCUGAUCCAGCCAUGCCGCGUGAGUGAAGAAGGCCUUCGGGUUGUAAAGCUCUUUUAGUCGGAAAGAAAGAGUUGCAAUGAAUAAUUGUGAUUUAUGACGGUACCGACAGAAAAAGCACCGGUUAACUACGUGCCGGCAGCCGCGGUAAUACGUAGGGUGCGAGCGUUAAUCGGAAUUACUGGGCGUAAAGGGUGCGCAGGCGGUCUUGCAAGUCAGAUGUGAAAGCCCCGGGCUUAACCUGGGAAUUGCGUUUGAAACUACAAGACUAGAGUGCAGCAGAGGGGAGUGGAAUUCCAUGUGUAGCAGUGAAAUGCGUAGAGAUGUGGAAGAACACCGAUGGCGAAGGCAGCUCCCUGGGUUGACACUGACGCUCAUGCACGAAAGCGUGGGGAGCAAACA